UACGUAGGAUCCGAGCGUUGUCCGGAUUUACUGGGUGUAAAGGGUGCGCAGGCGGACUGGUAAGUCAGAGGUGAAAUCUCGCCGCUCAACGGCGAAACUGCCUUUGAUACUAUCAGUCUUGAAUCCGGUAGAGAUCUGUGGAAUUCCGAGUGUAGCAGUGAAAUGUGUAGAUAUUCGGAAGAACACCAGUGGCGAAGGCAGCAGAUUGGGCCGGUAUUGACGCUCAGGCACGAAAGCAUGGGGAUCAAACAGG
rnacentral:rRNA from 1 species